ACAGGCAGUGGUAUGAAGAUGGAGGCACAGACCCAGGUCUUCAUUUUCUUGCUCCUCUGGAUAUCUGGUGCUGAAGGGGACAUUGUGAUGACCCAGUCUCCUGAAACCAUGUCCACAUCUGUAGGAGACAAAAUCAGUUUAAGCUGCAAGUCCAGUCAGAGUGUGGGUAGCUAUGUAGCUUGGUACCAGCAGAAACUAGGGCAAUCCCUUAAGCGGCUGAUCUACUAUGCAUCCACUCGGGACACUGGGGUCCCUGAUCGCUUCACAGGCAGUGCAUCUGGGACAGAUUUCACUCUCUCCAUCAGCAGUGUGCAGGCUGAAGACCUGGCAGUUUACUACUGUCAGCAGGGUUACAGUAUUCCUCCCACAGUGCUUCAGCCUCUAACAAAAACCUCAUUGAGAGAUUCACCAACUGACUGCAGCACACAUAGCCCUUGGUCUGUACACUUCCUUCUUCUGCUUGAGAUAUUCUAUGCAUGA